CAAAUUGACUGGAUGCUGCAGACUCGCACGCGUCGUGUGACGACAGCGACGACCAAUCGGCAUCGCGAAUAAGACGCGACAGGAUUUCGAGAUAUUUUCACUUGUCAGAAAUAGAUCGAUACGUACAGAUUCAAAAGUUUUCGUAUAACGUCGCAUGAUUCGCAAUUCAAAAUGCUUACGAGUAAUUCUGUCCUGGACCAUUCGCGAGAUCAAUUGCAGGAACAUACUCCUGAUGAAUACACGGACUAUGAGGAGUACAGCCAAGUUCUGAAAAAGCUUCUAUGCCUGCGAAAAACUUCGAAGAAACAGCUUUCGGAAGUACUGACCUACCAUAAAGAGUGUAUGGAGAUGUGUCGACAAAUGUCGGAACGCUUGGAAAUGGCCAACAGCGAGGUGCUAAAGUGUGCAGCCGAUACGAACAAAUUAAUAAACAUUGGACAAGAACCGAUUCCGGCCACGAUAAAAAAUCAAUUGCAAAGACGUUUGGGCCACGUGGUACAGGGAGAGGAUAAUAUGGAGACAAAGACGUCUUGUAAGAAGAAAAAAUUGCAAGACUGCUCCGAAAGAUUGGAAGGAUGCUGCAUAUCACCGAAUUGCUUGAAACGGCCUUGUAACUCUGAGGAGUGCGCUUGUCGUGAGGUGGGAGAAGUUUAUGCGAUGGUCAAUUGCGGACUGUAGUCAAUAUUUACUGUGAUUUUUAGCUUUUCCGAAUAAAUUGUGAUAAUCGAAACCAAAUCGAUACUAAGUGUACUUCGUGUCAUAAAAAAUUACUCGAAAAGAAGGAUCUCGUAAUCCUGCCCAAUAUUUGUCGAAUCCGUUACGGACAUUCACAAGCGUCAUUAAUAAAAGUUGAAUGGCCGAUUAUCAAAAAUGGAUAAUGCUAAAGUAAAUAUUACAAAUAAAACGGAACGUUUAGAUUGUCCAAAUUGUACUGUGAUAAAAAUGCUUCUGGAAUCUACCGAACGUGUUCGAAAGCUUCAGCAGAGAAUAAUAUUCUUACAAUCGUAUGGCCAAGGUAUCCUCUAGACAAAACUAUCAUGAGGUUUUAAUUCAAUAGUUAAGUUCAAUGUAUCACAAGUAAAGAACCAUACCAUAUAUAUGUAUGUUAUAAGUCUGUUCAACGAUUCAGAGCCAGUGGAAUUUGCAAAACGUAUUCUUGAAGAAUUGAAAAUGCAAAGAAAAGAAAUGUAUGCGGUUAUGUCCGCCGUCCGUGGAAUUUUCCUUGAGCGUUUUAUGGUGAAAGAUUUUGGUAAUUUUUUUGGCUGCGUAUAAUAUCUAACGUGGUUUGGUUCUAUAUCUAUAGAAUGAAGCCUCCGAUUCUGAGACUCAUAAGAAGAAAGGAAAUUCUAAAAAUAAAAUAUUGCAGGAUAAUGCUUGUAAUCGUCGUGCUUUUUUCAUUAAACGCUUCGCUAAUAAAAAUAAGAAAAAGUAUACGGUGUAAAUUCGUAUGAGUGAAAAGUCUAGUUGCCAUGCAUUAAAUUACAAGUAUUUUGAAUAAAUUCAAUUUCCAUGAACCUAGGCUGAUAAGAGUAAUUAUGUGUAAUAAAUCGUAUAGUAUUCUUCGUUAGUCACGAGUUCUGCUGGUAAAUAUCGCAAAUAAAUAGAAAACCGUUCACAACUAGUCAAUCGAAUUUCCUAACCUUCAAAAAAUUGAAAUCAUGAACAAUCAGAAAAUGGUAAUUCCUAAUCACUUGGUAGGACAGAUUCAGAAAGAAUUUAAAAAUCAAAUUGAAGAAUUGAAAAAGAUAGAAGAAUUUAUGUCAAUGAUCGAUGAAAUGCAAAUACAGUUUCUGGAUUUGUCGAAUGAUCAUCAAAAAGAUAAUUGUGGAGCUAAGAACAUUUUCGGGCAGAAGAAAGUUCCAUUUAUUUGUGUAAAUAGUCCAAAAGGUCCAUUGAGAGACGUUGAAAUGGUAAAUAAGUUUGAAGGAUGUCAAAGAGAACAGUAUGAAAACCAGCAGUAUUUUUUAGAAACAAAAAAUCGGUAUGACAUCAAAAGAAGAAUCGAUUGUAUUAAUGCAGAAAUUCGUACAGCUAAAUUGGUAAGACUCUACCGGGUUAUUCAGCCCAAACGUAUCACCUAAACGUGCAUGUUCAGAGCGGCAUUCAGCAUAUGGUGUGUUUGGGCUAAAUAACAGCAUGUGGAUUUAUAAGGUUGGUCGAUCGAAGAUUUAACCUGUUUCAUAUUCUGGUAGCUUCUAGAAAAUCCUCCACCGUCGUCAAUUCUCGAGAAAAUGAUAAAAGAUAUAAGAGAAGAGAAAGAAAGUACCGAAUCAAGUCCUCCCCGAAAGUGGAUUUCCGUAUGGGGUGAUGAGUGCGGAAGAUCGAGUCGCGGAAUCAAAAAGAAGCAUGGCCUUUUUUCAAAAAUGGCUAAAUGGAAAAAAGCCGCAAAUUUGAAAUGACAUUUCGGCAGCACCCAGUACAAUGUAUAACGCGAAGUUUCUUCUUUGACUCAGGAAUAAUAUAAUAUUCCGACCUUAUGUUUUUUAUAAAUUUAAAUAUACGUACAAACUAAUCAAUCAAUGCCAAAUUGUCGGUACUUUAGAACUAUGGAAAUUUAUGAAAAAACAGAUUCUUGCCAUUUAUGUAGAAAAUUUAAUGUGGAAGAAUUAAUCUCAGAACUUAAGAAAACUCAAAAUCAAUUGAUCGAAUCGAUAGAAUCAUUGAAAGUAAAAUAUAUCUUGGCUCCAGUACCAACAAAAAUUGAAUACAGUACCAAAAACAGUCUAGAUAAGGAAACCUCCAUGGAAUCCAUUAACUUUCCUGAUCUUGUAAAUGACAGCAGGGACAAUACCUUCUACAAGCUGGACGAUAAUCGGGAGUCAGAAUCUUCACGUGAAAAGACAGGAUCAGACAAUAAAAGAAAUAAAUAAACAGAGGGGAAUGAUUCUCUAAAUUAUUCUUAUCAUCCUGAAUAUCCAGCAUCGCCUUAUCAAGUGAUUCGUUUGUAUCCUUCGACAAUUGGACCAAAUUGUACAAAUAGUAGAAGGACUCGAAUUAGGCGAAACACGAAUUACGCUAGAAGACAAAACCAAUGUAAGGGCAGGAGAUUUUGUGGUUGUUUUUUUGGGCCAGUAAAAAAGGACAGCAAUGAAUAUUUCUAUUCCUAAAGAAAUAAUUUGGUCAGUGCAUUGACGUAAGAGAAAUAUACGAAUGAACUUUAUAAACGUGAAGGUAGAAGAUAAUCGAAUUCGAAUGAAUGUAUGACGUUAGCGUAGGAUUAUGAAUAUGAAAACUGAAAAUUUAUUAUUUUUAAAUGUGUCACGGAUUGAUUUAAUUAAAAUCUCACGUAAGUUAUACUAGGUUAAUUGGUCCAGCACAAUAAAAUUAGGCACGAUGUCGCAUCAAGAUGUAUCGACAAUGAUUGAAAAGAAAAGUAAAGGCUGCUGCUAUCCCCCACGGAUAUUAGAAGCUGUCAAAGAUGUGGUGUGUCGUACGAAUUUUUUGGAAGAACAGCUUUGUGAAUGUGUAACAGAUGCAGCAACUCGAAGAAAAUUUAAUGGUCGAUCCGUAUUCGUCGGAAGAUUUGGAUGGAGCUCGAAAUUCGUUGGAUUUUCAAAAUGAACGGACCGAUGGCUGCGAUUCAAUAAUUCAACAGAUCUGUCACCAUAAAUCCGAAAUACAGAGACUCCUAACCAUGCUCUGUAAAGACAAUGAACAUUGUGUGGGAGAUGGUAGUCAAUUCAGAGAAUUUUCCGUAAACCUCAAGUCCCAAAGACGGAGCUGGUUAGAGGAUAUUCCGGAGCGGGAAAAUUCAAAACUUGUAAAUGGAAAGUGUCCCGGCUGUUCUCAAAAUUUUUCGAAGGACGAUAAAAUAAGAAAAAACG